AACGGUCUAUACCUGCGGUACCUGCGGAAGGAUCAUUACUGAAGUUACCUUCUAAAACCAUCAUGUGAACCUUACCCCUGCCGCGCUGUUGCCUCGGCGGGACGCCGGAGCCCCGGCUCCGGCGCCGCCGGCAGCGCCAAACUCUCUACCUUGAAACAGCGGAAACGCACUCUGAUUUAGAAGCGAAAACAAGUCAAAACUUUUAGCAACGGAUCUCU
rnacentral:misc_RNA from 1 species